rnacentral:rRNA from 1 species
AAUGAACGUUGGCGGCGUGGAUUAGGCAUGCAAGUCGUGCGAUAACCGUAGCAAUACGGGGAAAGCGGCGAAAGGGAGAGUAACGCGUGGAUACCUACCCCUUGGUCUGGGAUAGCCGCGGGAAACUGCGGGUAAUACCGGAUAAAGUCUCCGGACCAAAGGUGUGAUUCCGCCGGGGGAUGGGUCCGCGUCCUAUCAGCUUGUUGGCGAGGUAAUGGCUCACCAAGGCGAUGACGGGUACGAGGCGUGAGAGCGUGUCCUCGCUCACUGGGACUGAGACACUGCCCAGACACCUACGGGUGGCUGCAGGCGAGAAUCUUCGGCAAUGGGCGCAAGCCUGACCGAGCGACGCCGCGUGCGGGAUGAAGGCCUUCGGGUUGUAAACCGCUGUCGGAGGGGAGGAAAUGCCAAGGGGUUCUCUCCUUGGUUUGACCUAUCCUCAAAGGAAGUACGGGCUAAGUUUGUGCCAGCCGCCGCUGUAAUAC